AAGGGGGCGCUGCCGCCGCCGCGAGGAGUGUGACGUCAUUCACUGGCGACGGCUCUCUCAGGCAUGGCGGUGGUGGCAGCAUCCACCGCUUCUUCCCUUUUGUUUCCUGUGCUGCGUGCCUCGGCCCUAAAGCUUGCAGUUCCCCUGUCUGAUGGUCGAGAUGGGCACCUGAUGCUGCAGGGAGCAGACAGGUCUUUAAAUCCUGGUUGAAAGGAGUGCUACCUGUGAUGGCUCCAGUCCUGUCUUGUGGUUUCUACCGGACCCCACAGAGCUGCCUGCAACUGCCACUCAGUUCUUUGUGCUGAAGCCAUGAAGCUGCAUCUGAAGCUGCAUUGGAAGAAAUCUGAGCCCACGGGUGGUGCUCUGCUGGAUCCCAUGAAGGUGAAACAGUGCUGAGUGCCCAGCAUGAAGUGUGCGACCCCACUGCAGCUGGGAACCCUGGGUGAACAGCCACAACUGGAGGUCCCCAACUUGCCUGUGUGCUCUGCGGUGAGGAGCUGCUCAGCGCAGGAUGGGCCCACAAGCAGUUUCCUGAGGAAGAGGAGAGGAUUUGGGUGCAUUUCCUCACCCUUGGAACAGGGCUCAGCAGUGAGGGCUCCUGCUCUCUGGAGCACCCAGUGCUGAUGAGGAGUGAUGACUGCAUACUGAUACUUUGGGGGUACAUUUGCUUGUGUUUACUGCUGUACAAGCACUUGUCACAUCAAUAAAUACAGAUCUUUGGUAUUUUCACA